rnacentral:rRNA from 1 species
CUACGGGGGGCAGCAGUGGGGAAUAUUGCACAAUGGAGGAAACUCUGAUGCAGCAACGCCGCGUGGAGGAUGACACUUUUCGGAGCGUAAACUCCUUUUAUAUAGGAAGAUAAUGACGGUACUAUAUGAAUAAGCACCGGCUAACUCCGUGCCAGCGAGCCGCGGUAAUACGGAGGGUGCAAGCGUUACUCGGAAUCACUGGGCGUAAAGAGCGUGUAGGCGGGUUAAUAAGUCAGAAGUGAAAUCCUAUGGCUCAACCAUAGAACUGCUUUUGAAACUGUUAACCUAGAGUGUGGGAGAGGUAGAUGGAAUGUCUGGUGUAGGGGUAAAAUCCGUAGAGAUCAGAAGGAAUACCGAUUGCGAAGGCGAUCUACUGGAACAUAACUGACGCUGAGACGCGAAAGCGUGGGGAGCAAACAGGAUUAGAUACCCCAGUAGUC